AUUGAACGCUGGCGGCAGGCCUAACACAUGCAAGUCGAACGGUAGCACAGAGAGCUUGCUCUCGGGUGACGAGUGGCGGACGGGUGAGUAAUGUCUGGGAAACUGCCUGAUGGAGGGGGAUAACUACUGGAAACGGUAGCUAAUACCGCAUAAUGUCGCAAGACCAAAGAGGGGGACCUUCGGGCCUCUUGCCAUCGGAUGUGCCCAGAUGGGAUUAGCUUGUUGGUGAGGUAAAGGCUCACCAAGGCGACGAUCCCUAGCUGGUCUGAGAGGAUGACCAGCCACACUGGAACUGAGACACGGUCCAGACUCCUACGGGAGGCAGCAGUGGGGAAUAUUGCACAAUGGGCGCAAGCCUGAUGCAGCCAUGCCGCGUGUGUGAAGAAGGCCUUCGGGUUGUAAAGCACUUUCAGCGGGGAGGAAGGCGGUGAGUUUAAUAAGCUCACCGAUUGACGUUACCCGCAGAAGAAGCACCGGCUAACUCCGUGCCAGCCGCCGCCGUAA
rnacentral:rRNA from 1 species